UACAGAGGGUGCAAGCGUUGUUCGGAAUUAUUGGGCGUAAAGGGCGCGUAGGCGGUGCCACAAGUCACCUGUGAAAUCUCCGGGCUUAACUCGGAGCCUGCAGGCGAAACUGUGGUGCUGGAGUGUGGGAGAGGUGCGUGGAAUUCCCGGUGUAGCGGUGAAAUGCGUAGAUAUCAGGAGGAACACCUGUGGCGAAAGCGGCUCACUGGACCAUAACUGACGCUGAUGCACGAAAGCUAGGGGAGCAAACAGG
rnacentral:rRNA from 1 species